rnacentral:rRNA from 1 species
UACGUAGGUGGCAAGCGUUGUCCGGAUUUACUGGGCGUAAAGAGCGCGCAGGCGGACGUUCAAGUCGCGUGUGAAAGCCCCCGGCUCAACUGGGGAGGGUCACGCGAUACUGAUCGACUCGAAGGCAGGAGAGGGAAGUGGAAUUCCCGGUGUAGUGGUGAAAUGCGUAGAUAUCGGGAGGAACACCAGUGGCGAAGGCGGGUCUCUGGACAGUUCCUGACACUGAGGCACGAAGGCCAGGGGAGCAAACGGG